rnacentral:lncRNA from 1 species
UCCCUAAUGGUCCUCGAGUACACACAGCUAUUGCUGAUCCUUUGCGAGAUCAGGAUGAGACCUUUCUGAAUUGCUAAGCACUUGGACUACUUCCUUGAUAUCCAGCAACAACUGUGUGGGGCGUAAGGGGUUGCUGGCCUGUGACAAGCUCGAAUGGGCUCUUGUUUGAGGAAGAGCUCUUUUGUAAGUUGAAGCAGUCCUCCGCGCAAUUUGAACUACAAAGUCAAAAAUUUCAUUAGGGCUACUGAACAUUUUGCCUAUGACAAUAUCUACUUAAAAGCCCUGGCUCUUAUCUAAGAACCAAAGCCACAACUAUCUUAAUCUCAUGCUCCACCCAACUUCUCUCGUUACUCCUUUCUAACAGAGCUCUUUGGUGAAAGACAGAACUCUUCCCUCAAUUAGUGCAGCCUCGAUCUUCUAGCUGAUUCUCUUUCCUUGCAUUUUUUCCCAGUGCACAACAGCUAAUAGCUAAAGUGACGUACGUUGACAUUAGGAUGCCCCAGGGGAAAGGUGGCGCAAUCCGGCCACCAGC